UCUGUAAAGUGCGCAGGUCCGGCCAUUCCAGAGAAAUACUUCUUUUCUUUACAUCUGUGUACUCCCCCGCCCCCAAGCUCCCUUCAAAAGACCCCAUAUAUUUUAUUCAAUCAGAAGAUGACCCCGUUAACAUUUUGAGUCCAGUAGUAUGAUCAGUUUCGUGAUUUUCAUUUAAUAAGUGGAAACUUUUAUUAUAGGGUAGCGCAUAUUCUUUUGGUUUUAUUUUUCCCAGCAAUUUUGCAUUCUGUAGCAGUUAGGUCGUGGGCUAGCCUACAUAGUUUCUACUCUGGGCCAAAUCUCAAUGCACAUAUCCCCUUUCAGAUAGAUGUUGGUCACUGAACUGUUUCUAAUGGAGAAUCUGUUGGCCACCACACAAACACACCGAAGGUCCUCUAUAUUGGAAGCCUGCCUUACCUGACCUACCAUUUAAGGCAAUAGUCACAGACACACUUGCCUAAGAGUCACCUGGAGGGCUUGCUGAGACCCGUGUGUCCAGGUUCCACCUUUAGAAUUCCCGUUGAACUGGACAGAACCUAAGAAUCUCCAAGUCCAAGGUUUCCUAGGAGUCCACGCUGGCAGUUGAUGCUGACAGUCCGUGGAUGCUCCUGGAUAACAUCUGUCGUGAGCUAAGCAUCCCUGGGCAAAGAAAUUGCUGAGUUCCUGGUGGGACCUUCCUUUAAUGGCUCCUUCUCAAGGACUGGAGCAGGAAUAAAGGAAGGGCAGGUGCCUCUCCAGACCCUGAGUUACCCUCCUUUGUGAGAAUUCAGACUCCUCCAGUGUCCCCAAACUUUGUUUGAUGCUGAUCUCUGAGCAGUGGUUUUCACCUCUCCCAACUUCUUGCCUCUUCGUCCACGAGGAACAACCAUUCUGAAGACCAAAGCUGAGUCUCAGCCUCAGGGAGUGGCAGGUGGUUCUCUGUGUGACUCUCAGGCUUCAGGGAUUGAUCAGACCUGAUUGAGAACCUCUUAAAGGAACGAACAGCUGUAAUGGGAAAGUUGGACUCUGUCAUCCGUUAGGAUGAUUCUGGAAGCAAGAAGAACAAGGCUGACAUCUUGGAGCAAUUGUAUUUACAAUUAACAUGGCUGAAAACGAUUGCCUCUAUUGAUCCCCCCUUCCUGCAAUUACAGCCCCAUUGUUUACAUUCCAGCACUUCAGUUAUAAAAAGGAAAUUCAAUAAUUAUUGCAUUAUUUAAAGUUAAA